rnacentral:rRNA from 1 species
CCUACGGGUGGCAGCAGUGAGGAAUAUUGGUCAAUGGGCGAGAUCCUGAACCAGCCAAGCCGCGUGAGGGAAGACGGCCCUAUGGGUUGUAAACCUCUUUUGUCGGAGAACAAAACUCGGGAUGUGUCCCGGUCUGCGUGUACCCGAAGAAAAGGCAUCGGCUAACUCCGUGCCAGCAGCCGCGGUAAUACGGAGGAUGCGAGCGUUAUCCGGAUUUAUUGGGUUUAAAGGGUGCGUAGGCGGUCCGUUAAGUCCGCGGUAAAAUUUCGGGGCUCAACCCCGUAGAGCCGUUGAAACUGGCAGCCUUGAGUUGGCGAGAGGUACGCGGAAUGCGCGGUGUAGCGGUGAAAUGCAUAGAUAUCGCGCAGAACUCCGAUUGCGAAGGCAGCGUACCGGCGCCAGACUGACGCUGAGGCACGAAAGCGUGGGGAUCGAACAGGAUUAGAUACCCUUGUAGUC